rnacentral:misc_RNA from 1 species
GUCUCAUAACGGAUUGCAUCCGAUUGUUCCUUCUCAUCAGCGGUAAAACGCCCAAUGCCCAGAAACCAGUUUUUGCGCCCAUGAUGAGGCCGAUACGGACUCGGACAAAUCCACUGAAUAGUGCCACACCAGCUUUCGCUUAAUGCCCAUGCGUUAUCGCCAUCCAGAGAAACCAGCGCCGAACGCA